GCGUUAUUAGGGGCCAAGCACCGAAGGUGCGAAGGCACCUAUUGUGUUUGUUGGCGUUAUUAGGGGCCAAGCACCGAAGGUGCGAAGGCACCUAUUGUGUUUGUUGGCGUUAUUAGGGGCCAAGCACCGAAGGUGCGAAGGCACCUAUUGUGUUCGUUGGCGUUAUUAGGGGCCAAGCACCGAAGGUGCGUAGGCACCUAUUGUUUUCGUUGGCGUUAUUAUUAUUCUUCUUCUUCUUCUUCCGCCGCAAGUCUAUGGCAGCCCAUAGAACCGUUUGCGGGAAAGUUGUAUAAUUUGGCACACUGAUAGAGGACAGUCCCAACAUUAACUAUAGCAAAUUUGAAGCCUCUAAAUCCUACUCUCUAGCGCCACCACUUGUCCAAACUUUCAAUGUUUGUAUGCUAAUAACUUUUGAACCGUAAGCCAGAAAAUGGAAAUUCUUUUUUCCUCUGAAUCCUUGGCUCAGGCCAAGUCGAAUGAACCCCAAAAUUCAAAAAUCGCAAGGUUUAGUUUUUUCGCUAUUUUCAAUUAUUCGAAAAACCUACUUUUUCGAACUCGUCCUAGACGGUUAGUCCGAUUGCCACGAAAAUUGGCUCAGAUCAUCUUCAGACCAUGCUGGCAAAAAGUUAUGGAAUUCAAGUUGAUUCGUCCAACUGUUGUCGAAUGACACGUAAACAAAUUUGACGAAAAGCACGCAAACAUGCACGUGAGGCUAUAUCCCGGCAACGGUUUGUCAUAUUGAGACCAAACUUGGCGUGUGUUAUAACAAGCAUGAACUGAGACUACCUGCAGUGUUUCGACACAGCGCCACCUAGUGGUCAGGAGAUAUGAAAAAUGCAUAUUUUGGCUUAUAACUACUGAAUGGUUUGGCCAAAAAUCACACAACUGGUCUCUUUAGAUUCAGUGAGUCAUGUCGAGUCAAAUGAUAUCCAAAUUUCCUGUGUCGGCCAUUUUAGGCGUCGGCCAUUUUGAAUUAUGAUUUAAAAUGCUGUAUUUUUUGAACGCAGCAUCGUAUCGUUUCGCAAAUAAUUACAAAAAUAUUCGGCUCCAUGCCCUGAAGGUACUCAAAAAGUUUGGUGGCAGCGCCACCUUGUGGCCAAUAGUUAUAAUGAAAUAUCACAUAAAUGCUAAUAACUUUUGAAUAAAUUAGUCUAUUAAAAUUAAAAUGGUCUCGCUAUAUUCUGUGGGUCAUGCCGAGAGUAUUGAUACCAAUAAUGUGAAAAUUGGCCUUACUUCCUGUCCGCCAUUUUGCUUAAUGUUGAAAACCUACUUUUUCGAACUCCUCCUAGACCGUUAGCCCAAUUUUCACCAAAUUUGACGUGCAUCAUCUUCAGACCAUGCUGGCAAAAAGUUAUGGAUUUUGUGUCGAUAUACGUAACGGUUCUCAUUUAGCGCAUCAACGAAUUUGCUGGAAGGGUGCCAAAAUGCAUUUGAGGCUGUAUCUCUGCAACACUUUGACAUAUUUGCACCAAACUUUGUAUGUGUCAUCGCCACCUCACACUGACCAUGCCACAUAAAUUUGGUAACAGCGCCACCUAUUGGUCAAGAGUAAUAAACCAUUCAUUAACCAUGAGUAAUUACACUUUUUAAAAUGCUAAUAACUUUUUAAUGCAUUAGCCUAUUUGAAGGAAACUGGGCACAAAAUAUUCCCUGGCUUAUGCCGAUAACAUAGAUACCAAAUAUACCACGGUAAGCUGAACUUCCGGUCCGCCAUUUUGAUUUAUGUUGAAAACAUACUUUUUCGAACUCCUGAUCAACCGUAUGUCCGAUUUUCACCAAAUUCGAAUCAAAUGAUCUUCAGGCUAUACUGAUUCAAAGUUAUGGAUUUUGAGUCGAUAGACAAAACCGUUUUCGCAUACCACAUCGACGAAUUUGAGGCACAAUGAGAAAAUGACACUUGAGGCUGUAUCCCUGGAAUGCUUUGGCAUAUUGACACCAAACGUUGUGUGUGUCAUUGAAAAGACACACAGAGUACACCAAAUUGAUUUUAUAACAGUGUCACCUAUUGGUCAAGCUUGAUAAACCAAGUAAUCAUGCUACUAGAGGUGGUAUUGGUGUUUUUUUUUUUUGCCAUUUCAAAUACAAUAAUUCCAAAAUUGCUGUUAUUGCUCAUUAAUGUAUUUGGUGUGAUGCUUUAUGCGAUGCUUAGCUACUACAUUUGCCGUUGGAGUGCUUGGCCCCGUAAUUGCUGCUUGCAGCUAUAUUUAGGGGCCAAGCACCGAAGGUGCGUAGGCACCUAUUGUUUUCGUUGGCGUUAUUAUUAUUCUUCUUCUUCUUCCGCCGCAAGUCUAUGGCAGCCCAUAGAACCGUUUGCGGGAAAGUUGUAUAAUUUGGCACACUGAUAGAGGACAGUCCCAACAUUAACUAUAGCAAAUUUGAAGCCUCUAACUCCUACUCUCUAGCGCCACCACUUGUCCAAACUUUCAAUGUUUGUAUGCUAAUAACUUUUGAACCGUAAGCCAGAAAAUGGAAAUUCUUUUUUCCUCUGAAUCCUUGGCUCAAGCCAAGUCGAAUGAACCCUAAAAUUCAAAAAUCGCAAGGUUUAGUUUUUUCGCUAUUUUCAACUUUUCGAAAAACUUACUUUUUCGAACUCGUCCUAGACGGUUUGUCCGAUUUUCACGAAAAUUGGCUCAGAUCAUCAACAGACCAUGCUGGCAAAAAGUUAUGGAAUUCAAGUUGAUUCGUCCAACCGUUCUCGAAUGACACGUGAAAAAAUAUGACGAAAAGCACGCAAAAAUACACGUGAGGCUAUAUCUCCGCAACGGUUUGGCGUAUUGAGACCAAACUUGGUGUGUGUUAUAAUAAGCAUGACCUGAGACUACCUGCAGUGUUUCGACACAGCGCCACCUAGUGGUCAGGAGAUAUGAAAAAUGCAUAUUUUGGCUUAUAACUUCUGAAUGGUUUGGCCAAAAAUUACAAAACUGGUCUCUGUAGAUUCAGUGCGUCAUGUCGAGUCGAUUGAUAUCCAA